rnacentral:tRNA from 1 species
GGGCCACUAGCUCAGUUGGUAGAGCACUUGACUUUUAAUCAAGUUGUCGGGAGUUCGAUUCUCCCGUGGCUCA